CAGCCGCCGCGGUAAUACGUAGGUCCCGAGCGUUGUCCGGAUUUAUUGGGCGUAAAGCGAGCGCAGGCGGUUAGAUAAGUCUGAAGUUAAAGGCUGUGGCUUGACCAUAGUACGCUUUGGAAACUGUUUAACUUGAGUGCAAGAGGGGAGAGUGGAAUUCCAUGUGUAGCGGUGAAAUGCGUAGAUAUAUGGAGGAACACCGGUGGCGAAAGCGGCUCUCUGGCUUGUAACUGACGCUGAGGCUCGAAAGCGUGGGGAGCAAACAGGAUUAGAUACCCGCGUAGUCCCUGUCUCUUAUACA
rnacentral:rRNA from 1 species